GUUGACCAGGCUGAGGGCUGACACAGGGAACCUCGGAAGUGAGAAGACGGGCUUCCCAGUACCAGAGAGGAAUGGACGUGGCGUGCAGAAGCGGGAGGGAAUAGAAGCCACCUGGGUAGGGAAGUCUUCUGACAGACAGCCCAUCCUUUUGCAGCGCCCUGUCCCAGGGUCAUGUGGCCACCGCUGGUGCUGCUGUUUCUGCUACUUCCUGCUGCCCAUGGCGCCCCCCAUCCAGAUGCGGACCUCCAGGAAAACUCUCCAAGCAUACUCGAAGAUAUCCAAACUGAAUUAGACAGAGACAUGUGGAGGGAAGACAACCCGUUCGCUGGCUCCCGCUGUCCUCCUGGCUCAUGAGGUGGCUUCUAUGUGGUCCAGAAGCUGGGGGCUCGGACCUGUCGCCUCAUGAGGGCCUGCCAGGCACAGGAUCCAGAGCUCCACACUCCUCCUCCCCAAACCUUCCGGUCUCCUCCGGGGCCCUUCAGCUGCUGAAGGGGCUUGGGGUGAACACCAUUAUCCUAGCAGGGGACAUAUGUGGAACUCACCAGAACCACCUGCUGGAGCACCAUUUCAAAAUAAAAGUAAAAUUUCAAGUUUA
rnacentral:lncRNA from 1 species